rnacentral:rRNA from 1 species
UACGAGGGGGGCAAAUGUUGUUCGGAAUCACUGGGCGUAAAGGGAGCGUAGGCGGGUUUCUAAGUCAGGUGUUUAAUCCCGGGGCCCAACCCCGGACAGGCACUUGAAACUGGGAAUCUUGAAUAGUGGAGAGGUCAGUGGAAUUGGGGGUGUAGCGGUGAAAUGCGUAGAUAUCACUUGGAACGCCAAAGGUGAAGACAGUCUGCUGGGGAUUUGCUGACGCUGAGACACGAAAGCCAGGGGAGCGAACGGG